rnacentral:tRNA from 1 species
AACCAAUUAGUUUAAAUUAAAACAAUUAAUUGCAAAUUAAAAAAUACAUUAUUGGUUA